rnacentral:rRNA from 1 species
CCUACGGGAGACAGCAGUGAGGAAUCUUGGUCAAUGGGCGUAAGCCUGAACCAGCCAAGUCGCGUGAGGGAUGAAGGUUCUAUGGAUCGUAAACCUCUUUUAUAAGGGAAUAAAUUGUGGGACGUGUCCUUUCUUGUAUGUACCUUAUGUAUAAGGAUCGGCUAACUCCGUGCCAGCAGCCGCGGUAAGACGGAGGAUCCGAGCGUUAUCCGGAUUUAUUGGGUUUAAAGGGUGCGUAGGCGGUCUUUUAAGUCAGCUGUGAAAGUCUGUGGCUCAACCAGAGCAGUGCCGUGGAAACUGGGAGGCUGGAGUGUGGAAGAGGCAGGCGGAAUGCGAGGUGUAGCGGUGAAAUGCGUAGAUAUAAGGCAGAACCCCGAUUGCGAAGGCAGCCUGCCAGGCCGUGACUGACGCUGAUGCACGAAAGCGUGGGGAUCAAACAGGAUUAGAUACCCGGGUAGUC